AGUGGGACCGGCGGCUUAAGAGUGAAAAACAGGAAAAGGCUAAUCUCCCUUUUUGGCCCAGCCACCGUCGAUCCCUUACGCCAUGCUGCCCUUGGAAGCUGGUUUUGGUUUUUUUUUUUUGGGGGGGGCGUUGGACUAAAUGAGAGGUUCUUAAGUUUUGGCACUUUGGCGAAGGAAGAUAAGCAUAUUUUGAGAAAGUGAUGGAGUAAUGAAAAUUUCCCACAUGUUGGAAGCUGCUUGAAUAGAAUUAUGCCGGAAAAUACACUUGUGACAAAAGCUAGAAACCAGAUCUGAAAUGACAGUUUAAACCAGGACUAAAAGAACUCCUAGGGAAUGUUCGUUACCUAUGAUAUGACAGCAUGAUAUGGAGCUUCAGACUCUUUCCACAACCCUCCUGCUCUCUAAAGUCAUUUGUUCAAGUCAACACAUUUUUGGACACCGUGCUAGGCUUUGAGGAUACAAUGGCAAAAAUGUAAUGACCCUUGA